rnacentral:sRNA from 1 species
AAUAUAAUUAAUGAGAAC